ensembl:snoRNA U3 Small nucleolar RNA U3
CUGAGAUCAUUUUUCAUAAUUCCUUAAAAGAGAUUUACCUGAGGGUAUAGAACACCAAAAAGCACCAGGAGGCACAGUGUUCUCUCCUGAGCCUGAAGCCAGUUGGCGUUGCUUUGCUCUGACUGCCAUUUGCCAUAGACUGUGGUUCUUCUCUUCCUUUGGGAUAAUAACAGGGAGAGGAUAUAAUCUGAGUG